rnacentral:rRNA from 1 species
CUUUAUGAGUGGCCGGACCGGCGCGACGGGUGACGUAACGCGUAUGACCUAACCUACCUUUUACAGGGGCAUAACACUGAGAAAUUGGUACUAAUUCCCCAUAAUAUCUGAGACGGCAUCGUUUUGGGUUGAAAACUCCGGUGGUAAAAGAUGGGCAUGCGUUGUAUUAGCUAGUUGGUGGGGUAACGGCUCACCAAGGCGACGAUACAUAGGGGGACUGAGAGGUUAACCCCCCACAUUGGUACUGAGACACGGACCAAACUCCUACGGGAGGCAGCAG